GACCGUUCGUGCUGCAGAAGGCAGCCGAUUCAGCAGGAGCACAAGAAAGCCUGAACUCACCAAAUGGCAGUGGUCUUCCGAGUAUUCCACAUCUGAACGCCACAGAAAGAGGGAGAGAGACAGUCCAUUAAAACAGCCACGCACUGGGUGAAGUCAUCUGCUGAGAGUCAGGGGAGCAGUGGGGGUCAGAGCUUCGAGGAGAGAAGGUGGGAUUAUGGAGAACACAGUCGGUUGCCUCGAGAAGCAGAAACACGGGGGGAACAGGCUACGUGGAGGGUCCUGGUCAAGGCGGGAAUUUACUGUGACUCCAGCUGUGCUGUCCUUUCCUCUGUGGCUGUCCAGCUGUAGGGUCAGGAAAGAGUUCACAUUCUUAGGGCCAGAAACAGAUCGAAACGGCUUUCCUCCACCUAGAGAAUUACCUGGCAACAACUCAAUCUCAUCUUUGUGACAGUACAUCCAAGAAAGGCAAAAAGUGAUACUUUAUAAAGUGGGGUGAGAACAAAAGGUUAACA